rnacentral:lncRNA from 1 species
ACGCAGGCGUAUAGGAGCGCGGCGCUCAAAGCCUGGACGAAGAUGGCGGCCUCCAGAGUGAGCCUCUGAGAGGCAGAGGGAGGAGGCGGAGGGGGCGGGGAGGCAGUGCCGCGGCGGCACCAGGAACCCGCGGCAGCGGAGCUACAGGGCCCCGGCGGGGGAAAGGGGAAGUUGUGAGGGGGAGGAGGUCAGAGAGCGCCUCAUCCCACUCUGGACGCAGAGCCGGCGGCGGGAGGAGCUUGGGCUGGAGCCUCUCCAGCCUCCCGCGAAGGUUUCAGCACAAAAUGAACAUAAUUAGGGAAAAUAAGGAUUUGGCAUGUUUCUACACAACAAAACAUUCAUGGAGGGGAAAGUAUAAGCGUGUCUUUUCAGUUGGAACCCAUGCAAUUACUACAUAUAAUCCAAAUACUUUAGAAGUAACUAAUCAGUGGCCUUAUGGAGACAUUUGCAGCAUCAGUCCUGUUGGAAAAGGUCAAGGAACAGAGUUCAAUCUCACAUUUCGUAAAGGCAGUGGGAAAAAGUCAGAGACUUUAAAAUUUUCUACAGAGCACAGAACAGAACUUCUUACAGAAGCAUUGAGAUUUAGAACUGAUUUUUCAGAGGGAAAAAUCACAGGAAGGAGAUAUAACUGCUAUAAGCAUCACUGGAGUGAUACAAGAAAACCUGUAAUUUUGGAAGUAACUCCUGGAGGCUUUGACCAAAUUAAUCCUACAACCAACAGAGUACUUUGUUCCUAUGACUAUAGAAACAUUGAAGGCUUUGUAGAUCUCUCUGAUUAUCAAGGAGGAUUUUGUAUACUUUAUGGAGGAUUUAGUAGAUUGGUGAGUAAUGUUUUUAAAACAGCAUUUUAAAAGGGUUUGAAGGAAGUGUUUUUACACUUCAUUCAGUGUUUUGUGGAUAAAAUAUCCUUCCCUGGGAAGCAGAGCUAAGGCAAGCCUAGAAUUUUUAGAUAAAUAAAAGUGUAGAUAGUAGCAAAAGGUGAACCUCAGAGGAGGAGGUAGGGUAUUUAGAGUGCAGGCUUUGCUGUCAAAAAUAAGUGGACUUGAACCCUUUUGCUGUUCUUCAAAGUGAGGAGGGUAAUAUGUCAUCCUGUGUUUUUAGUGAAGAUUGGAGAAGAUUAUCUACCUAAAAUGCUUUACACAGUACAUGGCUUAGUAGUGUUCCAUAAUAGUAGUUACAGUUAUUAUUUUCAUUAGUAUUAAUGCCUUACCUGAAAGUUUCUAAUUCAAUUU